rnacentral:rRNA from 1 species
UCGAGCGAUUUUUGUAGCAAUACAAAGAGAGCGGCAAACGGGUGCGUAACACGUGAGCAAUCUGCCCUUAAGACCGGAAUAGCCCAGGGAGACUUGGAUUAAUACCGGAUGUGGAGAAGUCAGGCAUCUGAUUUCUUCCAAAGCUUGUAACGGCGCUUAAGGAGGAGCUCGCGGCCUAUCAGCUAGUUGGCGAGGUAACGGCUCACCAAGGCUAAGACGGGUAACUGGUCUGAGAGGAUGAUCAGUCACACUGGAACUGAGACACGGUCCAGACACCUACGGGUGGCAGCAGUUUCCAAUCGUUCACAAUGGGGGCAACCCUGAUGGCGCGACCCCGCGUGGGGGAUGAAGGUCUUCGGAUUGUAAACUCCUGUCAUUGGGGACUAAUGGCCAGGCUCAUACCCUGGUUUGAAUUAACCCAAAGAGGAAGCAGUGGCUAACUCUGUGCCAGCAGCCGCGGUAAUACAGAGACUGCAAGCGUUACUCGGAUUCACUGGGCGUAAAGGGAGCGCAGGCGGACUCGUGUGUCGGACGUGAAAUACCGGGGCUUAACCCCGGUGCUGCGUCCGAAACUACGAGUCUAGAGACUUGGAGGGGUAAGCGGAAUUCUUGGUGGAGCAGUGAAAUGCGUAGAUAUCAAGAGGAACACCAACGGCGAAGGCAGCUUACUGGACAAGAUCUGACGCUCAGGCUCGAAAGCGUGGGGAGCAAAAGGGAUUAGAUACCCCUGUAGUCCACGCUGUAAACGGUGCGCAUUAGGUCUUGGAGCUUUCGAACGCUCCAGGGCUCAAGCUAACGCAUUAAAUG